AACGAACGCUGGCGGCGUGGCUAAGACAUGCAAGUCGAACGGACCGUUUAAUUGGGUAACUGAAAGAGCGGUCAGUGGCGAAAGGGUGAGGAAUAGAUAGGUAACGUACCCUGAACUUCGGGAUAGCGUCAUCUCGAGCAAUCGGGAUUUCCGAAAGGGGCAUUAAUACCGAAUGAUGUCGGCGGUUGCAGGACUGCCGAUCAAAGAUUGAUCGGUUUGGGAGCGGCCUAUCUCCUAUCAGCUAGUUGGUGAGGUAACGGCCCACCAAGGCGACGACGGGUAGCGGGACUGAGAGGUUGACCCGCCACAUCGGGACUGAGACACUGCCCGGACCUCCACGGAGGGCUGCAGUAACGAAUAUUGGGCAAUGGGCGAAAGCCUGACCCAGCAACGCCGCGUGCAGGACGAAGCCCCUCGGGGUGUAAACUGCUGUCAGGGGCAAGAAAGCCGCAAGGUUGAUCAGCCCCGGAGGAAGUCACGGCUAACUUCGUGCCAGCAGCCGCGGUAAACUCGU
rnacentral:rRNA from 1 species